AUUGAACGCUGGCGGCAGGCUUAACACAUGCAAGUCGAACGAGUGGCGGACGGGUGAGUAAUGUCUGGGAAACUGCCCGAUGGAGGGGGAUAACUAAUGGAAACGGUAGAUAAUACCGCAUACCAUCGGAGGUGCCCAGAUGGGAUUAGCUAGUAGGUGGGGUAACGGCCCACCGAGGGGACGAUCCCUAGCUGGUCUGAGAGGAUGACCGGCCACACUGGUACUGCGACACGGUCCAGACUCCUACGGGAGGCAGCAGUGGGGAAUAUUGCACAAUGGGCGCAAGCCUGAUGCAGCCAUGCCGCGUGUCUGAAGAAGUCCUUCGGGUUGUAAAGUACUUUCAGCGAGGAGGCGUUACUCGCAGAAGAAGCACCGGCUAACUCCGUGCCAGCAGCCGCGGUAAUAC
rnacentral:rRNA from 1 species